GUACUGAUGAAGAGUCCCAGACUAGGACGAAACAGAUGUGCACUAC
rnacentral:hammerhead_ribozyme from 1 species